rnacentral:rRNA from 1 species
AUGGGCUCGCGUCCGAUUACCUAGUUGGUGAGAUAACAGCCCACCAAGGCGACGAUCGGUAGCCGACCUGAGAGGGUGAUCGGCCUUUUGGAACUGACAAACGGUCCAGACUCCUACGGGAGGCAGCAGUGGGGAAUAUUGGGCAAUGGGCGAAAGCCUGACCCAGCAACGCCGCGUGAGGGAAGAAGGGUUUCGGCUCGUAAACCUCUGUCCUAUGGGACGAAGGAAGUGACGGUACCAUAGGAGGAAGCCCCGGCUAACUACGUGCCAGCAGCCGCGGUAAUACGUAGGGGGCGAGCGUUGUCCGGAAUGAUUGGGCGUAAAGGGCGCGUAGGCGGCCUGCUAAGUCUGGAGUGAAAGUCCUGCUUUCAAGGUGGGAAUUGCUUUGGAUACUGGUGGGCUGGAGUGCAGGAGAGGAAAGCGGAAUUACCGGUGUAGCGGUGAAAUGCGUAGAGAUCGGUAGGAACACCAGUGGCGAAGGCGGCUUUCUGGACUGAAACUGACGCUGAGGCGCGAAAGCGUGGGGAGCAAACAGGAUUAGAUACCCUGGUAGUCCACGCGGUAAACGAUGAAUGCUAGGUGUAGGAGGUAUCGACCCCUUCUGUGCCGCAGUA